UACAGCCAACAUCUGGAGAUAGAGACUAAAGGAAGGAAGUGUCUUGGAAACCAGAGAUGUGACUACAUGGUACAAGAGGGGAAGAAAGGAAGAGGAGGGACGUGCAUUCAUGUCAACACAAAAUCCACUAAGGAAACCUAGGACACAGAAUCCAGCCCAGGACACAUGAGGACAGGUACUCUUAGGAUAUAAAAAGACAGAAGUUCCUGGUGUUAAAGUGGGAGGCUAAGGGGCUGAGUCCCAAGAACCAGAAUGGAGAAAGGACUUUGCUAGGAGUCUAGGGAUCGUGGCAACCCAAACGGUACACACCAAGAGGGCCUGGCAGAGUGUGCAGAGACUGAGCCUGUACACAGAGAGGAUAAAGCCAGCAAGGAUGGCUGCCCAGCUCCACUGCAUGGAUCAGAGCCUGCUUUCCACCAUCGGAGGUCAGCCCCCAGCCCAGACUGCUUUGCCUUCCUGCCAUGCUUGCUAGAAAGCACAUCACUGCCAGGAGAAAAUUAUUCAGGAUCAUGAACUAACUUAUUAUCCCUUAACAGAUACUACGCUUUAAGCCAGAACUGGCUAGGAUCAGCAAGAUAAAAGUUCUCUGCCAUUUGUCGACA
rnacentral:lncRNA from 1 species